CACCAAUCAAGCUCUGCUUGGCAUUAGGCCUCUUCGCCCCCGGUCCUCACGGACGGCGGGGCGGGCCUCAAACACUUCGGCGGAGUCUCAUCGACUUUGGGCGUAGCAGAAUUUCUAAAACGUCAAGAGCGCUGGGCCUUCAGCCGCGAAAACACGGCGGUCGCAAGACCCCAACUUUUCUCAAA
rnacentral:misc_RNA from 1 species